GGCGAACGCUGGCGGCGUGCUUAACACAUGCAAGUCGAACGGAAAGGCCCCUUUGGGGGUCCUCGAGUGGUGGACGGGUGAGUAACACGUGAGUAUACUGCCCUUGACUUCGGGAUAACUUCAGGAACCUGGGGCUAAUACCGGUUAGGAAUCAUUGCUGCAUGGUGGGGGUUGGAAAGCUUCGGCGGUUUUGGGUGGACUGGCGGCUUAUCAGCGUGUUGGUGGGGUAGUGGCUUACCAAGGCUUUGACGGGUAGCCGGCCUGCGAGGGCGACCGGCCACAUUGGGACUGAGAUGCGGCCCAGACACCUACGGGAGGCAACAGUGGGGAAGAUUGCACAAUGGGCGGAGGGCUGGUGCAGCAACGCCGCGUGCGGGAUGACGGCCUUCGGGUUGUAAACCGAUUUCAGAAGUGGCGAAGCUUGUGUUGACGGUACCUGCAGAAGAAGCACCGGCUAACUACGUG
rnacentral:rRNA from 1 species